AUACGGGAGGCAGCAGUGAGGAAUAUUGGUCAAUGGGCGAGAGCCUGAACCAGCCAUCCCGCGUGCAGGAAGACGGCCCUAUGGGUUGUAAACUGCUUUUUUAUGGGAAGAAAAAGCCCUACGUGUAGGGCACUGACGGUACCAUAUGAAUAAGCAUCGGCUAACUCCGUGCCAGCAGCCGCGGUAAUACGGAGGAUGCGAGCGUUAUCCGGAUUUAUUAGGUUUAAAGGGUGUGUAGGCGGAAGAUUAAGUCAGUGGUGAAAUCUCACAGCUUAACUGUGAAACUGCCAUUGAUACUGGUUUUCUUGAGUAUAGUUGAAGUAGGCGGAAUGUGUAAUGUAGCGGUGAAAUGCUUAGAUAUUACACAGAACACCGAUUGCGAAGGCAGCUUACUAAGCUAUUACUGACGCUGAUGCACGAAAGCGUGGGGAGCGAACAGGAUUAGAUACCCCGGUAGU
rnacentral:rRNA from 1 species